rnacentral:rRNA from 1 species
GAUGAACGCUGGCGGCGUGCCUAAUACAUGCAAGUCGAGCGAACAGACGAGGAGCUUGCUCCUCUGACGUUAGCGGCGGACGGGUGAGUAACACGUGGAUAACCUACCUAUAAGACUGGGAUAACUUCGGGAAACCGGAGCUAAUACCGGAUAAUAUAUUGAACCGCAUGGUUCAAUAGUGAAAGACGGUUUUGCUGUCACUUAUAGAUGGAUCCGCGCCGCAUUAGCUAGUUGGUAGGUAACGGCUUACCAAGGCAACGAUGCGUAGCCGACCUGAGAGGGUGAUCGGCCACACUGGAACUGAGACACGGUCCAGACUCCUACGGGAGGCAGCAGUAGGGAAUCUUCCGCAAUGGGCGAAAGCCUGACGGAGCAACGCCGCGUGAGUGAUGAAGGUCUUCGGAUCGUAAAACUCUGUUAUUAGGGAAGAACUAAUGUGUAAGUAACUAUGCACGUCUUGACGGUACCUAAUCAGAAAGCCACGGCUAACUACGUG